UUACGGGAGGCAGCAGUGGGGAAUAUUGCGCAAUGGGCGAAAGCCUGACGCAGCAACGCCGCGUGCGGGAUGAAGGCCUUCGGGUUGUAAACCGCUUUCAGCAGGGACGAAGGAUUUCUGACGGUACCUGCAGAAGAAGCACCGGCUAACUACGUGCCAGCAGCCGCGGUGAUACGUAGGGUGCGAGCGUUGUCCGGAAUUAUUGGGCGUAAAGAGCUUGUAGGCGGUCUGUUGCGUCGGAAGUGAAAACUCAGGGCUUAACCCUGAGCCUGCUUUCGAUACGGGCAGACUUGAGGGAUGUAGGGGAGAACGGAAUUCCUGGUGGAGCGGUGGAAUGCGCAGAUAUCAGGAGGAACACCAGUGGCGAAGGCGGUUCUCUGGACAUUUCCUGACGCUGAGAAGCGAAAGCGUGGGGAGCAAACAGGCUUAGAUACCCUGGUAGA
rnacentral:rRNA from 1 species